GUUCCAGACAGGAAGUCCAGGACCCCAUUCUACGGCCUGGCAGGUAUAGGAAGUCCAAGACCCCAUUCUACGGCCUGGCGGGUAUAGGCAAACAGUCUAUGCUUGGUGAAUGGUAAGUACAGGUGUUAUAUACACAUAUACAUAUAUAGGACAGGAAGACCAGGACCCCAGUCUACGACCUGGCACGGUUUACUGGGACUAUGUGGUGACAGGUUUACUCUUGAUGUGGAUUGUCUGUGUUAUGAUGCAU
rnacentral:lncRNA from 1 species